rnacentral:rRNA from 1 species
GAUGAACGCUGGCGGCGUGCCUAAUACAUGCCAGUCGAGCGAACAGACGCGGAGCUUGCUCCUCUGACGUUAGCGGCGGACGGGUGAGUAACACGUGUAUCACGUACCUAUAUGACUGGGAUAACUUCGGGAAACGGGCGAUAACACCGUAUAAUAUCUUGAACCGCAUUGUUCAAUGGUAAAAGACGGCUUUUCUGUCUCUUAUAGCUGGAUCCGCGCCGCUUUGGCUAGUUGUUAGGGUAACGGCUUACCAAGGCAACGAUGCGUAGCCGAAGUGAGAGGGUGAUAGGCCACCUGGGAGCUGAGACGCCGUCCUGACUCCUACGGGAGGCAGCAGUAGCGAAUGUUCGGCAAUAGGCGAAAGCCUGACGGAGCGACGCCAAGUGAGUGAUAGAGAUGUUCGGAGCGUAAAACUCUGUUAUUAGGGAAAAACCAAUGUCUAAGGAGCUAUGCACGUAUUGACGGUAACUAAUCAGGAAGCCACGGCUAACUACGUG